rnacentral:rRNA from 1 species
UACGGGGGAUGCAAGCGUUGUCCGGAAUCAUUGGGCGUAAAGAGUUCGUAGGUGGUUUGUUAAGUUAGGUGUUAAAUGCAGAGGCUCAACUUCUGUUCGGCACUUGAUACUGGCAGACUUGAAUGCGGCAGAGGUAAAGGGAAUUCCUGGUGUAGCGGUGAAAUGCGUAGAUAUCAGGAGGAACAUCGGAGGCGAAAGCGCUUUACUGGACCGUAAUUGACACUGAGGAACGAAAGCCAGGGUAGCAAAU